CAGCAGUGAGGAAUAUUGGUCAAUGGGCGCGAGCCUGAACCAGCCAAGUCGCGUGAGGGAUGACGGCCCUACGGGUUGUAAACCUCUUUUGUCGGGGAGCAAAUUCCGCCACGUGUGGCGGAGUCGAGAGUACCCGAAGAAAAAGCAUCGGCUAACUCCGUGCCAGCAGCCGCGGUAAUACGGAGGAUGCGAGCGUUAUCCGGAUUUAUUGGGUUUAAAGGGUGCGUAGGCGGACUGUCAAGUCAGCGGUAAAAUACGGGGGCUCAACCUCCGCCCGCCGUUGAAACUGACGGUCUUGAGUGGGCGAGAAGUAUGCGGAAUGCGUGGUGUAGCGGUGAAAUGCAUAGAUAUCACGCAGAACUCCGAUUGCGAAGGCAGCAUACCGGCGCCCAACUGACGCUGAAGCACGAAAGCGUGGGUAUCGAACAGGAUUAGA
rnacentral:rRNA from 1 species